rnacentral:lncRNA from 1 species
UUUUUUUUUAAAAUAAUUUUUAUUAAAGUUUUAAACAACAAAGAAACAACACACACAAAAAGCAAUACAAAACUCAACAAUAAAAAACAAAAAACGUAACAAUUAAAAACAAACUCUCUUUUCCAUUUCCAUUUUUAGAUUACUUAUUUUCUGGACUUCCUCAUACCUCCCUCUUUUGUAUUCCAAUCCAAAUUAUUUGUCCAGCAGUUUCUUUUCCACUUUUUUAAUCCCAAUCUUUAAUUUAAUAAAAUAUUAAAAUAUAUAACUUCAACUUCUUUAAACCUAAUCCUUGAUCUUAGUAUCAUAUAACGUUAAAAUUUUCCCUUUUAAUAUCAAAUUUCCAUUUCUUUAAACAUCUUUAAUCUUGAUCUUUAAUCUUAGUCUAUCAUUAACUUUAACCUGUGCAGCUGGAAACCACUUAUUUUCAGUCCAACAUCACUCUAACAUUCCUUAAUUUUGCAGUGUUUCUGAAGAUAGUCUUUGAAUUUCUUCCAGUCUUCCUCCAUCGACUCUUCUCCCUGGUCACGGAUUCUACCAGUCAUUUCCGCCAAUUCCAUAUAGUCCAUAAGUUUCAUCUGCCAUUCCUCCAGCAUGGGAAGUUCUUGUGUCUUCCAAUACUUUGCGAUAAGUAUUCUUGCUGCUGUUGUUGCAUACAUAAAGAAAGUUCUAUCCUUUUUUACCACCAUUUGGCCGACUAUGCCCAGGAGGAAGGCCUCUGGUUUCUUAGGGAAGGUAUACUUAAAUACCUUUUUAGUUCAUUAUAUAUCAUUUCCCAGAAAGCCUUAAUCUUUGGGCACGUCCACCAAAGGUGAAAGAAUGUACCUUCGGUUUCUUUACAUUUCCAACAUUUGUUAUCGGGCAAAUGGUAGAUUUUUGCAAGCUUGACUGGGGUUAUGUACCACCUGUAUAUCAUUUUCAUAAUAUUCUCUGUUAAGGCAUUACAUGCCGUAAAUUUCAUACCUGUGGUCCACAACUGUUCCCAGUCAGCAAACAUGAUAUUAUGUCCAAUGUCCUGUGCCCAUUUAAUCAUAACCGAUUUUACCGUUUCAUCCUGAGUAUUCCAUUUCAGCAGCAAGUUAUACAUUCUUGACAAAUUCUUAGUUUUGGGUUCUAACAGUUCUGUUUCUAAUUUUGAUCUUUC